rnacentral:lncRNA from 1 species
GUUUUCCCGUGCUGUUCUUGUGACAGUGAGUAAGUCUCAUGUGAUCUGCUGGUUUUAUAAAGGGCAGUUUCCCUGCACCUACUCUCUUGCCUGCCACCAUAUAAGACAUGCCUUUGCUCCUCCUUUGGCUUCCACCAUGAUUGUGAGGCCUCCCCAGCCAUGUGGAACUAUCUAGAGUUUUAGAAAAACAUAUUAAAAUGAUCUGUGCAAAUCUACAACAAACUCAAACAAAUCAGUAAGACAAAAGCAAACAAUCCCAUCCAAAAGUGGGCUAAGGACAUGAAUAGACAAUUCUCAAAAGAAGAUAUACAAAUGGCCAAGAAACAUUUGAAAAAAUGCUCAACAUCACUAAUGGUCAGGGAAAUGCAAAUCAAAACCACAAUGCGAUACCACCCUACUCCUGCAAGAAUGACCAUAAUCAAAAAAUCAAAAAACAAUAGAUGUUGGCAUGGAUGUGGUGAACAGGAAACACUUCUACACUGCUGGUCGAAAUGUAAACUAGUACAGCCACUGUGGAAAGCAUUGUGAAGAUUCCUUGAAGAACUAAAAGUAGAACUACCAUUUGCUACAACAAUCCCACUACUGGAUAUCUAGCCAGAGAAAAAGAAGUCAUUAUUCGAAAAAGAUACUUCCACACACAUGUUUAUAGCAGCACAAUUCACAAUUGCAAAAUUGUGGGACAAUCCAAAUGCCCAUCAAUCAACAAAUUGAUAAAGAAACCAUGAUAUAUACAUAUAUAUCUAUAUAUAUGUGAUAAUCAUAUCACAUAUAUAUAUAUAUAUAUAAAACCAUAUAUAUAUAUAUAUGGAAUACUAUGCAGCCAUAAAAAGGAAUGAAUUAACAGCAUUUGCAGUGACCUGGAUGAGAUUGAGGACUAUUAUUCUAAGUGAUGUAACUCAGGAAUGGAAAACCAAGCAGCAUAUAUUCUCACUGAUAUGUGGGAGCUAAGCUAUGAAGACUCAGAGGCAUAAGCAUGAUACAAUGGACUUUGCGGACUUGGGGAAAAGAGUGGGAAGGAGGCGAGGGUUAAAAGACUACAAAUAUGGUGCAGUGUAUACUGCUCAGGAGAUGGGUGCACCAAAAUCUCACAAAUCACCAUUAAAAAACUUACUCAUGUAACCAGAUAUUACCUGCACCCCAAUAACUUAUGGAAA